CUUUUGUGGGGUGCUCGAGUGGCGAACGGGUGAGUAACACGUGAGUAACCUGCCCUUGACUUUGGGAUAACUUCAGGAAACUGGGGCUAAUACCGGAUAGGAGCUCCUGCUGCAUGGUGGGGGUUGGAAAGUUUCGGCGGUUGGGGAUGGACUCGCGGCUUACCAGCUUGUUGGUGGGGUAGUGGCUUACCAAGGCUUUGACGGGUAGCCGGCCUGAGAGGGUGACCGGCCACAUUGGGACUAAGAUACGGCCCAG
rnacentral:rRNA from 1 species